UCUCGAAGAACCGGCACGCCCAGUUCAGCGGUAGGAGUAACCCGUGGCCACACACCUCCAUCCCCCGCAUCCCGCCAUCCGCAACCGCCUCCGUCCCACCGCAACGGUCACCUCCUCCUGCGUCCUGCCGGCGCCCUCCAACCUCGCCUCCCCUCCUCUCCUCCGCGGUUAGGGUUCCGCCGCGUCUCCCGUUCCACACCCAUGGCCGCGCCCGUGUCCGCCUCUCUAGCGACGCGCGUCUCCCUCCCGCCGCGCGCGCGCUCCGCCGCCUCCUCUUCCUGCGGCCUGGGCCUCCCCUCCCUCCCUGGCCACCGCCACCGCCACCGCCACCUUCGUCUCCGCCGCUCACCGUCGCCGGCAGGGACUGCCGCCGCGAGCUCCGCGUCCGUGCCUUCCCCAUCGGGCACCGGCGACGCACUCGGUGGCGUCGAAAUCUACUCCGCGGCCACCGGCGAGCCCGUCCUGUUCAGGGACCUGUGGGAUCAGAACGAGGGAAUGGCUGUAGUUGCGCUACUAAGGCAUUUUGGGUGCCCUUGCUGCUGGGAGUUGGCCGCUGUUUUGAGGGACACAAAGGAGAGAUUUGAUUCAGCUGGUGUAAAACUGAUUGCUGUUGGUGUUGGCACUCCAGCUAAAGCCCGUAUUCUUGCUGAGCGCUUGCCCUUUCCGUUGGAGUACCUCUAUGCAGAUCCUGAAAGGAAGGCGUAUGAUAUCUUGGGUCUAUAUUUUGGUAUUGGCCGCACAUUCUUCAACCCAGCCAGUGUGAAAGUGUUUUCACGGUUUGACUCCCUUAGGGAGGCAGUGAAGAACUACACAAUCGAAGCCACCCCAGAUGAUAGGGCAGGUGUCCUACAACAGGGCAGGUGUCCUACAACAGGGGGGAAUGUUUGUAUUCAAAGGUAAAGAACUGUUAUAUGCAAGGAAAGAUGAGGGCACAGGUGACCAUGCACCUUUGGAUGAUGUGCUCAACAUUUGCUGCAAAGUUCCAGUAGCCUGAUGGCACAUCCUACGAAGUUCAGUAGUUAAAAAGCACUUUCGGCGCCCCCUGAUUCCUGAAGUUCCAAGAGUGCCUGCUGCAAGAGUGGCUUGUCCAUCGGUGUGCAUCUGAUAUCCGAAUGUGCCAAGCUUCAUGCCUUCAUGUAUAGUAUAGGUCGAGAUGCCUGGUUUACUUUGAUAUGUUGAUGGCGGUGGAUUGUGCAUUGUCAAGCCCCGAUUGGAUCCAAGUACUAAUGGGUGAAAGUGCUAAAAUUUCGCACUUGCUCAUCCAAACGGGAGUGCUAAUGGUGUGGGCUAAACUUUAACCAAGACUUAAAAACUUUAGCAUGUGUAUGAGUGCUAAUAUGUGCUAAAGCUUAGCACUCAACUUUAGCUCAUUCAAA